CCUGUCGUAGUGUAUGUGGUUAACAUAUCAGCUUGUGAUACUGAUGAAUCGGGUUCGAAUCCCGGCGACUGGAC
rnacentral:tRNA from 1 species